ensembl:lncRNA
CUUUACCUGUAAUGUCCACUUCUGAAGCCACAACAUACACUACAACUGGUAAGUUCCUGAUAAAACAUUUUCAGGUUAUUACAUUAUUCUUAAAUUAGAAAAACAAUUCCCUUCUGAAAAAUGAUUCCCAUUGCCAUUUUUAUUUUAAUAUUUGUAAAACUAAAACAAACCUUAAAAUGUCCUCCUCUCAUGAUCAUAUCAUGCUGCAUAUUAAUAAAAUAAUAAUAAGAAUAAACAACUACACAUAAUGCAUCGGAUUUUGUGCAAUUAAAUGUAUUCCCUUAAUUUAAUAUAAACUGUAAUAUAAAAUGGAUUAAAUUAUUUUUUUCUUUUGAUAGAUCCAUUGCUUUAUUUCUGUCUGGACUCAUAGGAUUCAUCUGUCUGUACCGCUUGACCAGUUCUGCUGAUGUUCUCACAGAACUGAACUUGACCUCCUGCCAGAUGGAAACAACAUCUCUUUUAACUUCCUCUGUGUGCUCCUCAAAACAUGAAUGACCUGUUUAUGUUCUUCACUGCAUAUUAAAUCUAAUUUCUAUAGCCUAGUUUUUACUGCAUAUUAAAUCUAAUUUCUAUAGCCUAGUUUUUACACUUUUUUUAAUCAGCUAGUUUAAUAUACACGCACAUGCAAGUUCUAACAAAAAAGUUUAUAUUUUCACUGCAAUUGUUAUAGUCUGUCAAACAGUUGUCUGACCAAUAAACAAAUUAAUCAUUUGUGUGCUUUUAUAAUUUCCAUAUUAUUAAAUUUGAUAUCAUAAUCUAAUCUAUGUUCAAGUCUAAUAGUAGUAUUUUUGGCAUAUUUAAAUGUUACUUUUUAAAAAUUACCUUCUGUCUUCAGUAUAUGAGUUUGAGCACAAAAUGUGCCCCAGAUCUGCCUUCUGUUAACAUGAAUUUGAGUUGUACAUGUGAUCACAUGAUCUACAUUUAUAGAACUGACUGCACAAUGGAUAAAAAUGGUUUUCUGUGGUCUGAUGCCCUACUUCCUAAUUCCUCAAUUGUAUGUGUCGUUGCUUUUCUGACAUUCGCUGUAAUGGAGUUGAUCGUUUUCAUAGUGAUUCAGCUCCUGAUGGAGGUUCAGUCCUACACAUCUCCUAGUGUAAAAGUAUCUCCAGAUGUCAUAAGAGAGUCCAGCUCAGUGAAGAUCAGCUGUGAGACACCAGCAGAUGUUCCUGUGAAUCAGUGUUACUUCUACAUAAACAGUGAGGAGAAGAAUGUAAAACCCAGUUGGAGAUGUGAGCUGGAUCUCACUGGUGCUGAAGUGUUCAGAUGGGCAGCUAUAAAAUCACCUGGAUCACUCAACAUUAUCUGUUACUACACAAUACAGGGGAUUGAUAAAACAUUCAAUCAUUCUCCUCCUGCCACAGUGACGGUUCGAGCUUUACCUGUAAUGUCCACUUCUGAAGCCACAACAUACACUACAACUGUUACCAUUACAAACUCCACUUUGCCUGGGGACAUUAGAAUAUCAGAACAUAUUUCAACAGAAACAUCCACUCAGAAAGAUUCGCAAAUAGACACAUUUUCAGCAACAAUAGCUGUCACUUUCACAACAGCAUCACCCAGAACAGGCACAUGGUUUAUAGUGCUGGUUUCCAUUGGUGUUGCUGUAUUCUUGUCUGGACUCACGGGACUCAUCUGUCUGUGCUGGUUUGCAAGUCAAAAAAGGAGAAAACUAUUAAUAAAAACUGAAGUGCCCAGUCAAGGAAUUGCUAUGAGUUGUUCUGGACCUGCAGAGAUAUAUUCUCUAAUCACUUCUGUACCAGGAACAUCUCAGCCCAUAUCUGGAGACCUCGAACACCCAGAAUCACAUCAGGACAGCACAGCAGAUCCCACAGACACUCACUCUUGUCUGUACAUGUCUGUAAAUUCAAUAUACCAGCCAUCAGAUGUUUUGGUCAACAAACAGAAACAGGGAAAUGCAGAGGAAAAUGAGAAUGUUUAUCACCUGUACUCCAUGAUCCCUGACCAACCAGUUCACUCAAACGCAGAAGAUCACGUGUACAGUCUGGUGAAGAUGCACUGA